rnacentral:rRNA from 1 species
UUCGAGCGGACAGAAGGGAGCUUGCUCCCGGAUGUUAGCGGCGGACGGGUGAGUAACACGUGGGUAACCUGCCUGUAAGACUGGGAUAACUCCGGGAAACCGGAGCUAAUACCGGAUAGUUCCUUGAACCGCAUGGUUCAAGGAUGAAAGACGGUUUCGGCUGUCACUUACAGAUGGACCCGCGGCGAAUUAGCUAGUUGGUGGGGUAAUGGCUCACCAAGGCGACGAUGCGUAGCCGACCUGAGAGGGUGAUCGGCCACACUGGGACUGAGACACGGCCCAGACUCCUACGGGAGGCAGCAGUAGGGAAUCUUCCGCAAUGGACGAAAGUCUGACGGAGCAACGCCGCGUGAGUGAUGAAGGUUUUCGGAUCGUAAAGCUCUGUUGUUAGGGAAGAACAAGUGCGAGAGUAACUGCUCGCACCUUGACGGUACCUAACCAGAAAGCCACGGCUAACUACGUGCCAGCAGCCGCGGUAAUACGUAGGUGGCAAGCGUUGUCCGGAAUUAUUGGGCGUAAAGGGCUCGCAGGCGGUUUCUUAAGUCUGAUGUGAAAGCCCCCGGCUCAACCGGGGAGGGUCAUUGGAAACUGGGAAACUUGAGUGCAGAAGAGGAGAGUGGAAUUCCACGUGUAGCGGUGAAAUGCGUAGAGAUGUGGAGGAACACCAGUGGCGAAAGGCGACUCUCUGGUCUGUAACUGACGCUGAGGAGCGAAAGCGUGGGGAGCGAACAGGAUUAGAUACCCUGGUAGUCCACGCCGUAACGAUGAGUGCUAAGUGUUAGGGGG